GUUCAUUUUGACCGGUUUCUUUCGAGGCGAGCAAGGGGGUCCAACUCUAAAUUGCCUCUUGUUGAUCCAACUCUACCGAAGCUGCAAGGUGAUGUUGAAGCUUCUUUGAGUUGGUGUCCCAGUGUUUUUUGAAUUCAUUGAUCUUCUUUUCAAUUGUUUGGGCUUGAUUUUCUUGGCUGGUUUUGUUUUUUAAUUUCUUCUUCAUUCAUCCGUGAAUUAAUAGUUGUAAAUGCUACCGACACCGCCAAUCUAUAAAUAUAACUAUCCUUUCUUGUUGCAGUACACAAA